UACAGAGGGUGCGAGCGUUGUCCGGAAUCACUGGGCGUAAAGGGCGCGUAGGCGGCUUGAUAAGCGUGCGGUGAAAGCCCGGGGCCGUCAACCCCGGGUCCGGCCGUGCGAACUGUCGAGCUGGAGCACUGUAGAGGCAGGUGGAAUUCCGGGUGUAGCGGUGGAAUGCGUAGAGAUCCGGAAGAACACCGGUGGCGAAGGCGGCCUGCUGGGCAGUGGCUGACGCUGAGGCGCGAAAGCGUGGGGAGCAAACAGG
rnacentral:rRNA from 1 species